GCUGGCGGCAGGCCUAACACAUGCAAGUCGAGCGCGUGUAGCAAUACACGAGCGGCAGACGGGAGAGUAACACGUGGGAACGUACCCUUCGGUUCGGAAUAACCCAGGGAAACUUGGACUAAUACCGGAUACGUCCGAAAGGAGAAAGAUUCAUCGCCGAAGGAUCGGCCCGCGGCUGAUUAGCUAGUUGGUGAGGUAACGGCUCACCAAGGCUACGAUCGGUAGCUGGUCUGAGAGGAUGAUCAGCCUCACUGGGACUGAGACACGGCCCAGACUCCUACGGGAGGCAGCAGUGGGGAAUAUUGGACAAUGGGCGCAAGCCUGAUCCAGCCAUGCCGCGUGGGUGAUGAAGGCCCUAGGGUUGUAAAGCCCUUUCGGCGGGGAAGAUAAUGACGGUACCCGCAGAAGAAGCCCCGGCUAACUUCGUGCCAGCAGCCGCGGUAAUACGAAGGGGGCUAGCGUUGCUCGGAAUCACUGGGCGUAAAGCGCACGUAGGCGGAUCGUUAAGUCGGGGGUGAAAUCCUGGAGCUCAACUCCAGAACUGCCUCCGAUACUGGCGAUCUUGAGUCCGG
rnacentral:rRNA from 1 species